UGCUGUUUUGACAAAGACUGGUGCAGUGUUUACAUUUGGCUCCGGUCAGUAUGGACAGCUUGGGCACAACUCAUUCAACGAUGAACUACGACCUCGGCUUGUUGCAGAGCUCUGGGGGGCAAAGGUCACCAGGAUUGCUUGUGGACGACAUCACACAUUAGUGUUGACGGACUCAAAGAAGGUCUACUCCUUUGGGUGUGGAGAGCAGGGGCAACUGGGACAUGGAGAGGAGAGUCAUCAAUCUGUGCCGCUACCUGUUCAACUGCCACAGGACACCGCUGAUGAUGCUAAAAUUAGAAACAUCUUCGCAGGAGGAAACUGUUCGUUUGCAACAUGCACAUAUAAUGAGGUACCAGCACACAUACACACG